rnacentral:lncRNA from 1 species
CCCCAAAAAACCCCACAUUGCAGGGCACAGAAUAAUGAACUCCAUUUGAGUUUGUUUCUGUUUUGUGGUUUGUCCCAGACAGGGUAAGAAGUUGCUCUUCACAGAGUUCCUCCUUUGGCUCCUGUGGUGUAAAGCUACAUGUACCUCCUGCUACAUGGAAAAAUUGCAACAGAAUUAAAAUUCAAAAAGCCUGGAUUUAUUUGAAGUAACACCAACAGAGAUCUGGGAUGAUUCCAUUAACAGCACUGCAGUCAUGCUGUUUCCAAAAGGAUAUCUAAAGAACUGUAUCCAAGGAGGAUGUCACACUUUUCUGUUCUCAAGUUCAACUUUAUCUCUGAGAGCAUCAGCAAGUUUCACCUCUUCUGAAAGAGCACUCUCCUGUGAUUUAUUUAGAAACUCCUGCUGCUCCCUGUUCUUGUGAAUCUUACAAGGGAAAACUACAGCAAUUUAAUACCUUUCCAAACUAUCCUUUGUUGAAUGUAUUGCCUGACAGUGGUUUUGAAGCAAGAAUAAAAGGAUGUGAUCUACAAACUGGUUUGAGACUACUUCCAUUCCAAAGCACCAUGCUAAAACAGAUAAGCAUCCUCUUUUAAUUUUUACUGAAACAGGGAAGCUGGAAGGUCUGACAAGUGCAGUCUGAACUGGGAUCCCACAUCCUAAAUUGAUAUUGUGAUGAAUUUACAGCCAGUGGUACCAUCAGACCACAAAGUUAGUAGCCUAAGCUGCAGUUUUCAAACCAUCACAAGGCCUUUUCUGCAGAAGAAAACCAAUACAAAAGCUGGUUUAAGACAAUGAAAGACUCAUAUUUUGGCAAAGGGCUACAAAAAAGUGGUGUCCAUACCCACAUUAUGGAUAGACAAAAAUAACUUUAUGUCUUAUCCUAAAUUCUUGGAAAAAUCUCAGCUGUUCAAUCUCCAGGAUUCAGAGCCCCUGUGUUCCAGCAGGUGGUCUUGUUUAGAUUAGGAUGCAAUAACUAAUGACACAUUCUUAGGAGCAUUUCUCUUUGCUGCACUCUCCACAACUGCAAAAGAAUGAAGAGAAUAUUUGAUUUGCAUUUCACAAACCCUUUACUGAAUUUUUGUUGCUUAUACUUGCAGUCCUAAUGCUUCAGUUGUUAGUAAGAGAAGUCCUUCCUAAAGUAGGGGUGAUAGAAUUUAUCCUGUCACAAAUGUGCUGGGGUCAAAGUGAGGGACUAUUUAAAAGAGUGCCAGGUGAGAAACACCAGCUCAGGUUAUGCAUCAUCUAGCUAAGUGAACCUAUCUGGUAAUUCUUAACAUUCUGAAGAGUAAACUAUUAUUAAAUACUAAAGGAAGGCAAUUCUUGGUGUAGCAAUUAAUUGAAACCUUAGACCUAAGCUAGCAAGAUACAUGUUGGAAGCACACAGCAAAAAUAAUAUCAUUUGUAGUGUUAUCUGGAAGCAGCAAGCAAAUUGAAAAUAAAUUCUAGACUCUCCAAAGGAGGUGUGGAGUAGGAGGGCUACAAUAGAGCUUUGCACAGCUUGCUUGUUUUGAGUGCAAUUUAUAGAUCAUGAGGGCAUCUGUUUUACUGGAAUAAUACAAAGGUCAGAGAAAUGCAGCUGCCUGAACAAAGAAGCCAUGGCAGACAGUUUGCUUUCAAGCAAAACAACUUUCAAGCCAUUGACAAAUAAAACAACCUUAGACAUAAAAUAGUGUUGUUGAAUUAACACUAAAAGAAAUACUGUGGUACUCUGAAUGUAUUUUAAAAAGCAGUCAGUGAAAAUGUGUUCAGGAUGUGUCCACUUAAACCCUUAUUGUUGUAACACUUCUACUGAGUGGGAACCCCAAGUGAAAUAGCCUAGGAAGUGAUUAAACCUUCAGUUUUCAAAUGGAAAUAAAACCAAAAAGGAAAUGUUUUGCAUUCUAAAGUGCACUCGGCUGUGAUAACCUUGUCUUUAAUAACAGAAAGGAAGGACUAAAGCAUCCCCCCUCAGAAAGAGUCAGAGCAGGUUGGAUUCCUGAGGCUCUUGCUUUGCAAGAGGGGGUUUUAAAUCACCAUUUCCUGUUUGAAACAGGAGCACUUCCUCACUGAAAAGAACCUGAAAUUUAAUACAAGCAGAAGCUGAGGUACCUGCUUUGACAUCAGCAAAGGUGAUUUCACAGGGAGGACAGGAAAAGCAGGGAGA